rnacentral:tRNA from 1 species
GAGGGUAGAGCUCAGUGGUAGAGUGCAUGCUUAGCACGCACAAGGUGCUGGGUUCAAUCCCCAGGACCUCCA